rnacentral:rRNA from 1 species
UACAGAGGGUGCAAACGUUGUUCGGAAUUACUGGGCGUAAAGCGCGUGCAGGCGGCCUUGCAAGUCGGACGUGAAAUCCCACGGCUCAACCGUGGAAGUGCAUUCGAAACUGCGAGGCUGGAGUCCUGGAGAGGAAAGUGGAAUACUCGGUGUAGAGGUGAAAUUCGUAGAUAUCGAGUGGAACACCGGUGGCGAAAGCGGCUCUCUGGGACGGUACUGACGCUGAGACGCGAAAGCGUGGGGAGCAAACAGG